AGAAUGUAACUAAAGCAAUACAGACAUCAGGUUUUGGACAGAAGAUAGAUUUUAACACUGAUGAUGUUGAUCAUUUUCAUGAAUUCUUUUUUUCUUUUUUUACCAUGGUGAUGGCUGCACGUGCACAUGGUGUCACAAACCCAAAAGCAGAACAGACAGUUAAGAAGCAAGUGAUAAAACUGAGUGUGCUGAAAGACUCCUCUCUGGAUCUGAAUGACCCUGCUGUGGUGGAACAAGUCUUGAAGCAGAUCAAACAGAGGCUGAAGGACCAGGGGGUGAAUCAAGACAUCAAACUGAGCUGGAGGAAGCAGUCAGAUGGAAAGAUCUUCCACAAGGACGAGAAGGAGACAGAGAAGAGGAAGAAGAGGGAGCUUUAAUUGCUGUGUCUGUUUUCAUCAGAGUCCUCAUGUAAUGGGUCAGAAUAUAUCUGCAACAAUCAGUCAGUUAAUCAAUUCAUCAUUUUAUUUAACAAGCAAAAAUAACAAAUAUUCACGGGUUCCAGUUUCUUAAAUGUGAGGAUUAUAUCAUUGUCUGCAACAUUGCAUGUUUCCACUAAUGUAGGAUAUUUUUUAUCAUAGAUAUCAUGUCUCAAAUAGAUAAAUAGGUGGUAAUUAUAUGUCACCUAGUUUAAUUCUGCAGCCCCUGUAGAUUCUCCUUUGGGCCUGGAAGGGGAAGGUGAAGUGUGGGAGUUGCAAUCUAAGAUAAAAUAUGAUUAAAUUAGAUUAGAUUAGUUUCAAUUAAGAUUAGAUUAGAUACUGUACGAUAAGAUAAAACAGGUAAUAGAACAUAAGAAUUGACUGGAGGCAACUCCAGUGGAAAAAAAGCACCA
rnacentral:lncRNA from 15 species